UACGUAGGGCGCAAGCGUUGUCCGGAAUUAUUGGGCGUAAAGAGCUCGUAGGCGGCUUGUCACGUCGGAUGUGAAAACCCGGGGCUCAACUCCGGGCCUGCAGCCGAUACGGGCAGACUAGAGUGAUGUAGGGGAGACUGGAAUUCCUGGUGUAGCGGUGAAAUGCGCAGAUAUCAGGAGGAACACCGAUGGCGAAGGCAGGUCUCUGGGCAUUAACUGACGCUGAGGAGCGAAAGCAUGGGGAGCGAACAGG
rnacentral:rRNA from 1 species